rnacentral:lncRNA from 1 species
CUCAGCCGCCACCAGUUCGGGCUCGGGCUCGGGCUCCGACUCUUCGGGUUCGGGUUCCGGCUGGGGCUCGCCACCGCCGCACGGUCCGCGAAACUCGCCCAGGAAUAGCUCCAGGAAGCGCCGGGUCCGUAUGUGCGGAAAGAUACCACAGUGCGAAAACCUUCUACUGUCGAUGACAUUAAUAAGUAGUUUGCAGGGGAAGGCAUUCAACAUCUACAAAGAUCAAUAUGGAUCCUGCUGCAUCCAUUUGACAGAGGAGCUUCACCAGAAGGUGGCUGACAGCACUGCUGGGAUCUCAGAGCAGCUGUGUAGGAUGAUUCUGCCAUUGUCGAGUCUUUUUAGUCAUUAUUUUGCAUUGCUUUACUUUCCUUUUCAGUUCCUCUCCUCUUAUACUUCCCUAAUCCCCUUUCUUGUUGUCUAUUUUAAAAUAGAGCUAUAA